GAUGAACGCUGGCGGCGUGCCUAAUACAUGCAAGUCGAGCGAACGGACGAGAAGCUUGCUUCUCUGAUGUUAGCGGCGGACGGGUGAGUAACACGUGGAUAACCUACCUAUAAGACUGGGAUAACUUCGGGAAACCGGAGCUAAUACCGGAUAAUAUUUUGAACCGCAUGGUUCAAAAGUGAAAGACGGUCUUGCUGUCACUUAUAGAUGGAUCCGCGCUGCAUUAGCUAGUUGGUAAGGUAACGGCUUACCAAGGCAACGAUGCAUAGCCGACCUGAGAGAGUGAUCGGCCACACUGGAACUGAGACACGGUCCAGACUCCUACGGGAGGCAGCAGUAGGGAAUCUGCCGCAGUGGGCGAAAGCCUGACGGAGCAACGCCGCGUGAGUGAUGAAGGUCUUCGGAUCGUAAAACUCUGUUAUUAGGGAAGAACAUAUGUGUAAGUAACUGUGCACAUCUUGACGGUACCUAAUCAGAAAGCCACGGCUAACUACGUG
rnacentral:rRNA from 1 species